AUUGAACGCUGGCGGCAGGCCUAACACAUGCAAGUCGAGCGGAACGGCGGACGGAUGGGUGAGGACUAGAAAGCUGCCUGGCCGUGGGGGAUGACGACCGGAAACGAGCGCUAAUACCGCCUACUAGCUGAUGGACCUAGGUCGGAUUAGCUAGUUGGUGGGGUAAAGACUUACCAAGGCGACGAUCCGUACCUGGUCUGAGAGGAUGAUCAGCCACACUGGAACUGAGACACGGUCCAGACUCCUACGGGAGGCAGCAGUGGGGAAUAUUGGACAAUGGGCGAAAGCCUGAUGCAGCCAUGCCGCGUGUGUGAAGAAGGUCUUCGGAUUGUAAAGCACUUUCAGUUGGGAGGCGUUACCAACAGAAUAAGCACCGGCUAACUCCGUGCCAGCCGCCGCGGUAAUAC
rnacentral:rRNA from 1 species